ACAACAAGAUUUGAAUGCAUUUGUGUCUUUCUAUUUUCAGAGCCUCCAACAAUGCUCAACUUCACAGAAUCAGCUCCUUGAGAAGUGGAUGGGAAACUCGAACUUUUAUUAAGGUCAAGGCCAUUAUGUCUAUUAUUUGACUCAAAAUCAUUUCCCACGCAUGAAUUACAAUCUCCUAAAGCAGAUGGAUAAGUCAUUCAGAUUCUGCACAACAAGAUUUGAAUGCAUUUGUGUCUUUCUAUUUUCAGAGCCUCCAACAAUGCUCAACUUCACAGAAUCAGCUCCUUGAGAAGUGGAUGGGAAACUCGAACUUUUAUUAAGGUCAAGGCCAUUAUGUCUAUUAUUUGACUCAAAAUCAUUUCCCACGCAUGAAUUACAAUCUCCUAAAGCAGAUGCUUGGGUUUUACCACCAAAUAGGAC
rnacentral:lncRNA from 1 species